GACGAACGCUGGCGGCGUGCUUAACACAUGCAAGUCGAACGGAAAGGCCCUGCUUUUGUGGGGUGCUCGAGUGGCGAACGGGUGAGUAACACGUGAGUAACCUGCCCUUGACUUUGGGAUAACUUCAGGAAACUGGGGCUAAUACCGGAUAGGAGCUCCUGCUGCAUGGUGGGGGUUGGAAAGUUUCGGCGGUUGGGGAUGGACUCGCGGCUUAUCAGCUUGUUGGUGGGGUAGUGGCUUACCAAGGCUUUGACGGGUAGCCGGCCUGAGAGGGUGACCGGCCACAUUGGGACGGAGAUACGGCCCAGACUCCUACGGGAGGCAGCAGUGGGGAAUAUUGCACAAUGGGCGGAAGCCUGAUGCAGCAACGCCGCGUGCGGGAUGACGGCCUUCGGGUGGUAAACCGCUUUCGCCUGUGACGAAGUGUGAGUGACGGUAAUGGGUAAAGAAGCACCGGCUAACUACGU
rnacentral:rRNA from 1 species